AUUGAACGCUGGCGGCAUGCUUUACACAUGCAAGUCGGACGAGUGGCGAACGGGUGAGUAAUAUAUCGGAACGUCCCGAGUAAUGGGGGAUAACUAAUCGAAAGAUUAGCUAAUACCGCAUAGUAUUCGAGCGGCCGAUAUCUGAUUAGCUAGGUGGUGGGGUAAAGGCCUACCAAGGCUACGAUCAGUAGCGGGUCUGAGAGGAUGAGACGCCACAUUGGGAGUGAGACACGGCCCAGACUCCUACGGGAGGCAGCAGUGGGGAAUGUUGGACAACGGGCGCAAGCCUGAUCCAGCCAUGCCGCGUGUCUGAAGAAGGCCUUCGGGUGGUAAAGGACUUUUGUCAGGGAAGCGGUACCUGAAUAAUAAGCACCGGCUAACUACGUGCCAGCAGCCGCGGUAAUAC
rnacentral:rRNA from 1 species